rnacentral:rRNA from 1 species
CCUACGGGUGGCUGCAGUGAGGAAUAUUGGUCAAUGGGCGCGAGCCUGAACCAGCCAAGUCGCGUGAAGGAUGACUGCCCUACGGGUUGUAAACCUCUUUUGUCAGGGAACAAAGUGAGCCACGUGUGCCGUUUUGCAUGUACCUUAUGAAAAAGGAUCGGCUAACUCCGUGCCAGCAGCCGCGGUAAUACGGAGGAUUCGAGCGUUAUCCGGAUUUAUUGGGUUUAAAGGGGGCGUAGACGGGUUGUUAAGUCAGUUGUGAAAGUUUGCGGCUCAACCGUAAAAUUGCAAUUGAUACUGGCAGUCUUGAGUACAGGUGAGGUAGGCGGAAUUCGUGGUGUAGCGGUGAAAUGCUUAGAUAUCACGAAGAACUCCGAUUGCGAAGGCAGCUUACUAAACUGCCACUGACAUUGAUGCUCGAAAGUGUGGGUAUCAAACAGGAUUAGAUACCCCGGUAGUC